rnacentral:lncRNA from 1 species
CUCCGCUUUGUUCCGAGACGUGGGUCGGGCGCUUUUGCUGAGGGUGAUCCAAGACCCCACUAGGAACUUUUUCACCAAACCCAAAGAAGAGAUGAGGCAAGGUCUGUACUGGGCGGAGAUCCUUUGGAGUGAGGCUACUGUACACAGGUGUGAAAGUGAGCCAUUUUCUUCUCUUCGGCAGAUAUUGCCUCUUAUUCAUCACUCCACUGAAGCUAAUCAGUAACCAAAGACCAUGUGACUCAAAAGGACCUGAAAGGCUGAUGAUCCUUGUAAAUUAGAGGAAUGCAGUCUCCCUAGGUAAAAUCUCUGUCUCUCUCGGAAUAGAACUCUGCUCUUUGUGAGUGCCCCACAGCCUAAAAUGAAUGGUACUGCUGAGAUGAAGACACUCAUCCGUCAGACUCAGGCAUUGUGGGUCAGAGACCUGUGGGGCCUCUUUGGUCCUGUUCCACUUGCUGGUUGCCUGAGGUUGUAGUUUUGUGCCCAG